AUAAACUAGAUUUCAAAAUAAAUUAAAAAAACCCCUCACUUUUCAACCCUAACCCGAAGCUCUCUCCUCACACAGUGUCCCUCUCGCCGCCUCACUCCGUCUCCGGCAGAGUGGAGAGAGAAGUCCUUUUCGUCGAGUCCUGGUCGGCGGUGUUCUCGUCGGAGCCAUUCUCGUCGGUGCCAUCUCUUCUCCUCGAGUCUUUAUCGCCGUCUGCCCCUCGCCGCGUACUUCCUCUGCUUGCUCCGCCAUUGUCACAGAUCAUCGCAUCCCCGUUCAGAUCUGUUGUUGCUCGCCUCGCGUCAUUCUUUUCUCAGCGUCACCUCCUGUGGUAACUUCUUCUCCGAUAUCAACAACAACAACAAUAGUCUUCCAGUUUUCAGUGAAGGUAUUCAUUAUUCAUUGAUAUCUUUUCAAGUGGUACACGUUGGUGCAUGUGAUGUUAGGUUGCUGAGGGUUAGGUAGAAGAGAAAUCUAGGAAAUGUACUUGAACACUUUGUGAAAUUUUGUGAUUGCUUUCAUCAAGAAGUUGAAGAAGGCUUUGGUAGCAGAGUAACUACAGAGAAAGCUGUUAGUAUCCUUGUGAAGUCUUAUAGCUUGUCUCAGAUUAAGAACAAAGUAUAUACAGAAGUAGCAAACAUAAAUCAACGUGUGAGGAUUUUGGUGUAGUAGAAAAGAAGAGAGACCAUGCUGCGUUCCUGAUUCAGUGCCUUGUUUAUUGCUAUAGCUCUAAGCUUGGGCUCUAUCUACUAUGAUAUUGACUUUGGUGUUGGAUCUAUUCAGGCGAUAGGAUCUUUGCUUGCUUUCUUAAGUUGCCUUUUGUCUUACUAGAGGAAAUCAAGGUAUUUGAAAGAGAGAGAUUGAAUGGACACUAUGAUGUUACAGCAUUUCUCAUAAGGAACACAUUUUCUGUUGUUCCAUACACGCUACUAGUAACUCUGGUUCCGGGACUAAUAUCCUAUUACCUUUGUGGACUCCAAAAAGGACCAGAACACUUGGUAUACUUUCUGUCAGUGCUAUUUGCCAUAGUUAUGUGGGUUGAGAGCCUCAUGCUUGUUGUGGGAAGUGUCUCCCCUAACUAUGUUAUAGGCAUGUUGAUUUCUGGUGGAAUUCAAGGAUAUUUUAUAUUGAUUUAAUCACAAAAAUUCACAAAGUAUUCAAGUACAUUUCCUGACAUGAUAUUUUAUAUUGAUUUUGUUCAGCAGAUAUCAUGUACUGUGAUGAAUAUGUAUACAAUUGAUGGUUGCAUUC